CUCACGGGUGCCGGGCACUGUCCUAAGCAUCGGCUCCUAAGAGGUCCUCGGUCAUCCUGGCCAAGGGAACCCGUGACACUAAAUGAGGAGAAGCGGUGUGGACUAACGGCUAGAGCACGGCUCUGGGAGUCAGAGGACCUGGCUCUGCCACUUGUCUGCUCUGUGACCCCGGGCGAGUCAUUUCACCUCUCCGUGCCUCAGUUCCCUCAUCCGUAAAAUGAGGAUUGAGACGCUGAGCUCCACCUGGAACACGGUCCGCGUCCAACUUGAUCGUUCUGUCUCUACCCCAGGGUUUAGUACGGUGCCUGCCAUAGAGUAAGCGUUUAACGAAGACCGUAAAAAAAAAUACCGAGUUGCACGAGAGACGCAUUUGUGUACAGCUCUC
rnacentral:lncRNA from 1 species